rnacentral:lncRNA from 1 species
GCCCUUAGCUGUGACCAUCAUCAUGAUGGUAGUGGCUGGCUUCUUUACCCUCUGUGCUGGGCUCUCACUCUUCCUCCUGCAGCGGGUAAGUAGGGCAAAGCCAACAUCGAACACAAGUAAAAUGCCCAUCUCUUCUGGGUACACAUCUAAAUAUUCCUUGCUCCUGAAGCUCUUAGGGGCCCAACAGCUCGUCAAGGGCUCUGGGUGAGCAGCCAGGCAGGGUUGCAGUCCUCUCGGGUGCCACUAUACCCUGAUGGCUAGAAUUGCUCUGUGCUCUUCUCACGCCAGCCUCCUUCCCUAGGUCCAUGCCUUCUACCGCCGAACAGGAGCCAGCUUCCAGCAGGCUCAGGAAGAAUUCUCCCAGGGCAUCUUCAGCAGCAGAACCUUCCGCACUGCUGCCUCGUCUGCUGCCCGAGGAACCUUCCAGGGGAAUUAGUCUUCCUGACUCUCCUUCCCUCAGCCCUGGCCUCUGUCACCUGCCUUCUGAGCUGCACUUUCCAUGGGUGCCUUAGCAGUGGCUGUGCCCAGCACAGACCAGGCAGGGAUUCGUCUUGUCCCUGCACUUUCCUCAGUAGUCAGCUUUCUCUUCUACAGGAGGGAAGGACAGGAAGGGACAAGGACUUUUUUUUUUAACACAUGGGAAAAGAAAAAAAUAACAAAGCUGUCUUUCCUUUUCUAACG